GUGAAUCAUCGAAUUUUUGAACGCAAAUUGCACUCUCUUCGGAGAGUAUGCCUGUUUGAGGGUCAGCCUAAAAAAAAUCGAAAUAGUCGCUGUUUUCGCGGUGACAUUCGUCGGAAAUUGGGUCAUCUUAAACUUUUGGGUUUUAAGCGGCUUAAAAUUUUCUUUACGGUUUCCACGAGCGUUUCUAUGAUUUACUUUUUACUUACGUUUACGGUUUCGAUCUUUAUUAGACGUGGCCGU
rnacentral:misc_RNA from 1 species